AAUUUUUGACAAUGGGGGAAACCCUGAUCCAGCCACCCCGCGUGUGCGAUGAAGGCCUUCGUGUUGUAAAGCACUUUUGUCAGGGAAGAAAAGGUUCUGGCGAAUACCCGGAACUGAUUACGGUACCUGAAGAAUAAGCACCGGCUAACUACGUGCCAGCAGCCGCGGUAAUGCGUAUGGUGCAAGCGUUAAUCGGAAUUACUGGGCGUAAAGAGUGCGCAGGCUGUUCGGAAAGAAGGAUGUGAAAUCCAAGGGAUCAACCUUGGAACGGCAUUCUUAACUACCUAACUAGAGUAUGUCAGAGGGGGGUAGAAGUCCGCGUGUAGCAGUGAAAUGCGUAGAUAUGCGGAGGAAUACCGAUGGCGAAGGCAGCCCCCUGGGAUAAUACUGACGCUCAUGCACGAAGGCGUGGGUAGCAAACAGG
rnacentral:rRNA from 1 species